GUGCUUGCUUUGUUAGCACAUAUACUAAAACUGGAAUGACACAGAGAAGAUUAGCAUAGCCUGUUUACAAGAAAAAAAAAAAGAAAGUGAGAAUAAUAAAGGUAACUG